AUGACUCAUCCCAAACGCUCGGAUGCCUCCGCCCGCUCCUCCCUCGACCGCGCCGGUCACCGGAGCCCGCCGACCCGAUUCCCUCAACCGCGACUCUGGCAUGUCACGUCCCCACCACCAACUUGCUGCUGCUCCGCCCCAGCUUGCCUCCGCUCAAGCUGCCGACCAUCUCCAGCCGCGGGCCAGCGUUGUCGCUCCCCGACCUCCUCUGCUUCACCUCGAGGCCCAGAUCCUCGCCCAGCAGGAGCUCUGCCCCGCACCCGCAAGGUCUUGACUGCGCUUGGACCGGGCCUGGAUCCGCCACGACCCUCGUUAUUCUUCUUCUUCUAUGUCGAGUACAAGACCGUCAAGUACAACUACACUACGUUGAUACUGGAACCGUUACCGUCGACCUCCGAAAAACAUGGGUUUGCCGAGUACUCCUUCGUUUUGUCAAGACCGCCAAGUCCCACAACGAACAUGUACAACUGCUCACGCCCGAAGACCUUGGAUGCACUAAGUUCCACUACGAGAUGUACCACUACCGUCGUUGGAGACCCGUUUCAUCAAGUUCAACUACACGGCUAUGACCUCGGAUUUGGAUUGCAAGCGCCAAGUACCCCAACAACAGGAUCACAUAGACGCCCGAACGACUACUAA
rnacentral:rRNA from 1 species